UACGAAGGGUGCAAGCGUUAAUCGGAAUUACUGGGCGUAAAGCGUGCGCAGGCGGCUUUGCAAGACAGAUGUGAAAUCCCCGGGCUCAACCUGGGAACUGCAUUUGUGACUGCAAGGCUAGAGUACGGCAGAGGGGGAUGGAAUUCCGCGUGUAGCAGUGAAAUGCGUAGAUAUGCGGAGGAACACCAAUGGCGAAGGCAAUCCCCUGGGCCUGUACUGACGCUGAGGUGCGAAAGCGUGGGGAGCAAACAGG
rnacentral:rRNA from 1 species